GCAUAUCAUAAGCGGAGGAAAAGAAACCAACAGGGAUUGCCUCAGUAACGGCGAGUGAAGCGGCAACAGCUCAAAUUUGAAAUCUGGCUCUCGGGCCCGAGUUGUAAUUUGCAGAGGAUGUUUCUGGCGAGGUGCCUUCCGAGUUCCCUGGAACGGGACGCCAUAGAGGGUGAGAGCCCCGUCCGGUUGGUCGCUAAGCCUCUGUGAAACUCCUUCGACGAGUCGAGUAGUUUGGGAAUGCUGCUCUAAAUGGGAGGUAUACGUCUUCUAAAGCUAAAUACCGGCCAGAGACCGAUAGCGCACAAGUAGAGUGAUCGAAAGAUGAAAAGCACUUUGAAAAGAGGGUUAAAUAGUACGUGAAAUUGUUGAAAGGGAAGCGUUUAUGACCAGACUUGGGCCGGUUGAUCAUCCAUCGUUCUCGGUGGUGCACUCUGCCGGCUCAGGCCAGCAUCAGUUUGGCUUGGGGGAUAAAGGUUUCGGGAAUGUGGCUCCCUCGGGAGUGUUAUAGCCCGUUGCGUAAUACCCUGGGCUAGACUGAGGUUCGCGCUCCGCAAGGAUGCUGGCGUAAUGGUCAUCAGCGACCCGUCUUGAAACACGGACCAAGGAGUCGUCUUCGUAUGCGAGUGUUCGGGUGUCAAACCCCUACGCGUAAUGAAAGUGAACGUAGGAGAGAGCUUCGGCGCAUCUCCGACCGAUCCUGAUGUUCUCGGAUGGAUUUGAGUAAGAGCAUACGGGGCCGGACCCGAAAGAAGGUGAACUAUGCCUGUAUAGGGUGAAGCCAGAGGAAACUCUGGUGGAGGCUCGCAGCGGUUCUGACGUGCAAAUCGAUCGUCAAAUAUGGGCAUGGGGGGCGAAAGACUAAUCGAACCUUCUAGUAGCUGGUUUCCGCCGA
rnacentral:rRNA from 1 species